GGGUUGUAAAGCACUGUCGGAGGGGGGAUAAAAGGCGCAAGGCUUGAUAGAUCCCUGGAGGAAGGCACGGGCUAAGUUCGUGCCAGCAGCCGCGGUAAGACGAACCGUGCGAACGUUGUUCGGAAUCACUGGGCUUAAAGGGUGCGUAGGCGGGGUGGCAAGUCUGUGGUGAAAUCCUCCGGCUCAACCGGAGAACUGCCGUGGAUACUGCUACUCUCGAGGGGUGUAGGGGCAUGUGGAACUCAGGGUGGAGCGGUGAAAUGCGUAGAUAUCCUGAGGAACGCCGGUGGCGAAAGCGACGUGCUGGACACCUCUGACGCGAGGCACGAAA
rnacentral:rRNA from 1 species